rnacentral:rRNA from 1 species
GGCGGACGGGUGAGUAACGCGUGAGAAUCGGCCCUCAGGUUGGGGACAACCAUUGGAAACGAUGGCUAAUACCAAAUAAGCCGAUUGGUGAAAGAUUAAUCGCCUGGGGAAGAGCUCGCGUCUGAUUAGCUAGUUGGUGGGGUAAAGGCUUACCAAGGCAACGAUCAGUAACUGGUCUGAGAGGAUGGCCAGUCACACUGGGACUGAGACACGGCCCAGACUCCUACGGGAGGCAGCAGUGGGGAAUUUUCCGCAAUGGGCGAAAGCCUGACGGAGCAAUACCGCGUGGGGGAGGAAGGCUCUUGGGUCGUAAACCUCUUUUCUCAGGGAAGAACUAAAUGACGGUACCUGAGGAAUAAGCAUCGGCUAACUCCGUGCCAGCAGCCGCGGUAAUACGGAGGAUGCAAGCGUUAUCCGGAAUGAUUGGGCGUAAAGCGUCCGCAGGUGGCAGUGAAAGUCUGCUGUCAAAGGUCAGGGCUCAACCCUGAACAGGCAGUGGAAACUACACAGCUAGAGUGCGGUGGGGGCAGAGGGAAUUCCCAGUGUAGCGGUGAAAUGCGUAGAGAUUGGGAAGAACACCGGUGGCGAAAGCGCUCUGCUAGGCCGCAACUGACACUCAUGGACGAAAGCUAGGGGAGCGAAUGGGAUUAGAUACCCCAGUAGUCCUAGCCGUAAACGAUGGAUACUAGGCGUAGCUCGUAUCGACCCGAGCUGUGCCGUAGCUAACGCGUUAAGUAUCCCGCCUGGGGA